rnacentral:rRNA from 1 species
GGAAUCGAUUUAGCCAUGCUAGUCGCACGAGUUCAGACUCGUGGCGAAUAGCUCAGUAACACGUGGCCAAACUACCCUUCGGAACACAAUACCCUCGGGAAACUGAGGCUAAUAGUGUAUACCGCAUCACACCUGGAAUGAGUGAUGCGCCAAACGCUCCGGCGCCGAAGGAUGUGGCUGCGGCCGAUUAGGUAGACGGUGGGGUAACGGCCCACCGUGCCAAUAAUCGGUACGGGUCAUGAGAGUGAGAACCCGGAGACGGAAUCUGAGACAAGAUUCCGGGCCCUACGGGGCGCAGCAGGCGCGAAACCUUUACACUGCACGACAGUGCGAUAAGGGAAUCCCAAGUGCGUAGGCAUAGAGCCUACGCUUUUGUCCACCGUAGGGAGGUGGACGAAUAAGGGCUGGGCAAGACCGGUGCCAGCCGCCGCGGUAAUACCGGCAGCCCGAGUGAUGGCCGAUCUUAUUGGGCCUAAAGCGUCCGUAGCUGGCCGCGCAAGUCUAUCGGAAAAUCCACCCGCUCAACGGGUGGGCGUCCGGUAGAAACUGCGUGGCUUGGGACCGGAAGGCGCGACGGGUACGUCCGGGGUAGGAGUGAAAUCCUGUAAUCCUGGACGGACCGCCGAUGGCGAAAGCACGUCGCGAAGACGGAUCCGACAG